UACGUAGGGUGCAAGCGUUGUCCGGAAUUAUUGGGCGUAAAGAGCUCGUAGGCGGUUUGUUGCGUCGGCUGUGAAAUCUCGAGGCUCAACCUCGGGUCUGCAGUCGAUACGAGCAAACUAGAGUGUUGCAGGGGAGACUGGAAUUCCUGGUGUAGCGGUGAAAUGCGCAGAUAUCAGGAGGAACACCGGUGGCGAAGGCGGGUCUCUGGGCAACAACUGACGCUGAGGAGCGAAAGCGUGGGGAGCGAACAGG
rnacentral:rRNA from 1 species